CUUACAAUUAUACUCUUUGCAUGCCUGAACAUAUGUCGAAGCUAUUUCGAGGAACCUUGCAAUAUGUUCUUCAGAUUUCUCCAGCAAUGCAGGUACCGUGAGAGCAAUAACAGCACCUGAAAGAACACAUGUUCAAGAAGGUUGCGAUGUUGAGUGCAUCAGAUAUUUGUCACUAUGAAGGAACUAGGAAGUAGACGAGACUCGAGACUCAUCCUCUGUCAUGUUCUUGUGCAUACACCUCUUUCACUUGGACUCCAUUCAGCAGAGAUGCUCAAGGGUGAUUAUAUCUCAAGAAAUUGUAAAUCGGUAAAGGAACGGAACUUACUUGCAUAUACCAAAGUGAUAAGAUCAGUCUAUCGGCCAACUAUGGAAGUCAGCACCAACACAAAAGCCACCUUGUAGAAGAGGCUGGAGUCCUUCCCAAGCGCAAUGUUUUCAAAAUCCUGGAGCACCUUAUUCACGAAGUUGCCCACUAUUUGUGAUGCUUCACUCACUGACUUAUCAGAAAUUUUCAUCAAAGGAACAGGAGGAGGUGCCCUACAUAGAUUCCUUUUUGCUAAGGGGCAGAAACUGUGACUACAGAUACCUAAUACAAAAGGUUCAGAUUCGUUUGGUUUUUGGUCUGCUCAUCAUAUGCUUUGAUUUGCAAAAAGGAUCAUGCUAUUGUGCUGCAGUGUUAUUUUACUCACUUAAAAUGUAAGUAAACAGUUCUAGUAUAUCAAUAUUUGCAAA